rnacentral:misc_RNA from 1 species
CCAGAGACUGAAGCAAUCCGGAUUCACUCCUGGGAGAGACGCCGAGAGACCAUGCGAGCGGAGCAGAAGGCCGGAGGAACCCACUUGCCCGACCCCGAUAUAGCGAGGAACCGUAACGCUCGGCUAACUCUGGAGGUCCAAAAGGAGAUGGCGAGAUUACGAACUCUUUGGCCAUCCCCAUUGCUCUCUCAGCUGCACCAGAUGCGCGAUGAUUACAUGAAUUCCUGAUGUGUGCUAGUAAUGUUCAAGUGACUAUGAUCUGAGCGAAUAUAUUACUCUGAUCCAAUGAUACACAACCCACAGUAAAGGGUUAUUAUGAGGUCAAAAUGGCUUCGAAAUUCUCAUUAAUUUCCUCUUUUAGGAAGGGUUAUUGUGAGGCAAAAUGGCUUCGAAAUUCUCAUUAAUUUCCUUUUUUAGGAAGGGUUUCUACUUUAGUCUCAUCUUUCCAGUAAUGUGUACUAUGUAUAGUUUUUAUCAGUAAAAUACAUAUGUAUAGAUUCACAGCCUCAUGUUGUUUGCCUUUUGUGUUUUUAAGGGGAAUCUUCUCCAGCUGAUUUCUUGAAUACAUUGUAUAUUUUUAUGAUAUAUUGUAUGAUUUUAAAAAAAAUAAAAUCAAGACAAAAUGUUGAAAUAAAUCUAA